CGGAGAUGGCGGAUACAUAUUAUGACACCAGUCCGACCCGGCGGACUCGCUCGGAACCCCUCCAGUGGGGGUUAUCUCGCGCUGUGAUUUCUUGAUUAGCAGCGGGUCGACUGGUUGCGGUUAACCGUUGUUAGGUUGUCACUCGAUUGGUAUGCAUGGGCUGGGAUUCGUGCUCAUCGUACUAACCCCCGAGCCCACCUAAUCUUCUCCUACCCCAUCGGCGUGGCGGAGCCGCGAAACCAAUCGAGGAGAAGCGAGAAACACCUAAAUUUACGAUAUUAACUUUCGAGAACUCAAGUUUCUGUCAAUGGAAAUUCAAGUUACUUUCGCUAAACUGUAGCUGCUGUGAUUCUUCUUGGACUUUUGAAAAAUUGGUCAUCUCAAUACGAGGCUACUAUUAUAAAGCGUCGAAUUCUCCGCGACAAGUGGCGGCCAUUUUUCAGUGGUUGACUCCACUCUGACAACGUGCCACUCGUCGACCCCUCUGUCGUAAUUCGUGUAACACGAUGGACGCACGGAGGUGAGGAGGUUUACAUAAUGACCACCCUAAAUCACCCUUUGCCAUGGAGCAGCGCGAGACGUGAAUGAGUCGAAUGAGAGGGAUGGAGAGAGGAGAUAUAUCGAGAGCAGUAGUCUGCACGAAUAUACAUAUCCGCCCCUCCUCGAGAACGGUAGGCAGGGUAAGAGAGAUUGGGGGGUUACAAUUUCCCAUGGAUAAUGGCACUUUGAUUACCCCGUGACGCCGUGCGUCCUGUCAAGUGGCACGCCGGGCCAUAAAUGGCUGACGUGGUAUUAAAAAAAGGAGCAAUAGUCUCACUAUGCGUUACGGGGUGAUCCAUUCAAAAUUCAUUCUGGGGACACUAGCGGAGAUUUCGAGCGCGCGUACUCGACUUUCUUGAUGAUACUCAAACAUCGCAACUGGUAGCGACCGAUUUGUCGACUUCAAUGUUUCGCCAGGUCGAGGGUCCGCCACGGGACUAUAAAGGAUCCGAAGUGGAAACAACAAUGCUGCAACUCCCGUCCCAUAAAUUCGGAUCGAGGAAUAUGACGGCGACGUUUUCGCGAUUCUCAUAGCUCGUGCUUGCGAAGGGAGCCUUCACGGCGCCAGACGGCGAAAUAACGUCGAUGGCUCGAAAGGGAGAUAUUUCGAGAACCUAGGAUGAGUUCGGUCGUUCGUCUACCCGUGCUAACUAUUCUACAACUAUCCAUGUGCAUAUAUAUUCCGGGAAAGUCUCACCUCGAGGUCAGACUUUUUACCGUUUACACUUUUACGGGCGUCAUACGACGUAUACUGUUGAGCUCUGAAUGUGGCUCCAUGGUGGAAAAGGCGCUUUUUAUUCGCGAGAAACUGUAAUCAGAGGAUAGAGAAAUGGCGAUCACUAUUGCGGUUGACGACCGUGGAGUCUAGGUUCCGAGGAUGCAGUAAUUCGACAAUGAUGAUGCGUUCUUGAAUAGCGCGUUAUUAUAACUCUUCUAUUGAUUGUGGUAGUUAAAACGAUUAUGUUCAGAUCAACGCAGAGUUAUUC